rnacentral:lncRNA from 1 species
GGCACUUGUUUCCUCAGUGGAUGCCUUUCGGCGCGCCGCCGCCCGGCGCCGCGGGACUGGGAGACCGGAUUUCUGAGAGAGCAGACACCAUCUUAUUUCUGUUGAAUUGUAUUUAGUAACUCAAAAGGCAUAUACCAAGCUGUCAGAAGCAGCUUCAUUUAAAAGAAAUAAAAUUUCUAGUCCUGCCUGAAGUUUAAGCUAGCCCAUGACUACACAAGUGCAACUGUAUUUCCCAGGUAGAUGCCGGUAGAUUGGGCCCAAAUUAAAGCAGCAGCCUUGGAUCCAGAGAUGGACGCCAAUUGAUGAAGACAGCAGAACUGACUGGCUAGUCUGGGUUCCCUGGAGCAGAGCUGUCUCUCCACCCUAGGUUAUCCACUUACUUUUGUACUGUUAUGUGAGAGAGAAAUAAACUUCUAUCUUCUUUA